ACAUAUAAUGGUUAAAUAAAAUCUUUGCAGGUUGCUUUUAGGACAAAAGUUUUCCAUCCAAAUAUUAAUAGCAAUGGAAGUAUAUGCUUGGACAUAUUGAAGGAGCAAUGGAGCCCUGCCUUGACUAUUUCUAAGGUUUUGCUUUCAAUAUGUUCACUUUUGACGGAUCCAAAUCCUGAUGACCCCUUGGUGCCUGAGAUUGCUCAUAUGUACAAGACGGACAGGGCAAAAUACGAAACAACUGCCCGGAGUUGGACCCAGAAGUAUGCCAUGGGUUAAACCGUUACCUAUGGCACUUGAAUUUAUGUAAAAAGAAAGAAUGCAUCUGUCCUCUACUUUUUAUACAAGAAGUGUAGAAUAGCAUUGAACAAUGCCUGUGGAGGAAUGUUGAUGCUUUGAAUUUGUUUAUAUAGAUACUAAUAUUUGAAGAAAUCUUGGAAGUGUUUAUUUAUAUGGUUUAGGAUUGUAACAAUUGGUUUCAACCAUCUAUUUCAUGUAAAACUUUUCACUAAAUGUCUCUAUAACCUAAGUUCCGCCAAUAUAUUGGUUGAUUGGGACUAAUUUGUCUUCGAGAAA